GUGAACCAGUGGACGUCCUCUCCGGCUCUCUGUCCUCCAUUCAACCUGCCAGAAACCACCAACAACGUGUCCCUGGAUCAGUGGAGCCUCCUCUCUGGCUCCUCCCUCCUCGUUGACUCCUCCCUCUCCACCUAUGACAUCAUCCACCUGAGCCGUGACAUCGCCGCGGGAGACCGGGACGCCACCAGGGAUUGGUGUCUCCAUGCCUGUCAGGAGGCGGAGUCUUGUGUGGGCGUGUCCCUCAGUGAGAAGGGGGGGGCGACCCGCUGCGUCCUCUACCCAGACACCUCCACCUGUGGACUAAGCUCCGCCCCCAAUGCACCCAGCCCCGCCUCCUCCUGCAGGCUGGUCAUCAGAGAGCCC